CGAUCUUUGUGUUCCUCAGAACAGCACCUUGGGCUGGGCUUGUGGUGCCAUCUUUUGCCAUUGGAUUUUCAACUCUACUCAUGAGUCUCUUCUGACCCCGAAGUGCAGAGAGGGGAAAGCCAGCAACAGAAAACAAAUGGAAAGAGCCCACACUCGUGACUUUUAACACUAUUCUUCAGAUGGUUUGUUCUUUCCAAGAAGAAGAAAAUAUCGUCUUCCUUUUCACCAUCUGGACUCCAGAGGAUCAUGCUGUUUGGCCCCCAAGAGUUAUCAACUCAGGAGAGUCAGGUUUGAAGCGUCUCUGGACCUCACAGUCCACAGGGUGGAUGACAACAAUACCAUCAUCGGAGAAGACGUAGAACAUGUUUCCCACGCUGAGACCUGGGAGGAGAGAACACAGCGUAGUCAUGGACUUCCUGUGUGGCCGGGCCACACACAGUAGAGGGGUACCAUACUUUCCUGGAGGGGUAGACAGUUCCCAAGGCUUGGAACCAACAUAACCUAUCAUAGCUGUGUACUACCCUGCAUCUCCUGCUCAGGCAAACAGGUUCCUGCUGCUGGAACGCAGUCCCUCAAAGAUGCCCAGGCUGGAGGGAGCACAUGGAAUUGCCCUCAAUGGCCAAUUCUAGUUGUCCUUUGGAGAAUCAUAUGGGGCUAGCUAUGUGCAUAUGCCUCAGUGCAGCCCCCCCAGCAAUCUCAAUGUCUGAGGCACCAUCCCAAAACACCUCUGUUGUGAAUGAUCUACCUUACAAACCUUGGGCUGAAACAGCUACUCUGGGCACAGCCUCCCUGGGCUUCUUUGAAAGUCAAUCACCAGAAAAGCCAACACAAGAUUGACAUCUUAAUGGAGCCCACACGGGGUUUGUAGAUGCAGCUACGUUUCCGACUGAGUGCAGCAGGGUGCUCAGUCAGUAUGGGAAGUGAGAGUCCAUACUCAUUCAACACACAGUCAACCUCACAGGAGACACAGCCUUCUGAUCCACCUCUAGUCAGCUCCGUAGAAAUCUCGCUUCUACGGCCAGGCUCCAAAGGGCUCCCAGCUUCCCUUGUUGCUGUUUUCUGGUCUCAUCUCCCUCCUAUUAAGAUUUGAGAGUGCCCUGGGGCCUGUGGUCCCUUCCUCUUGGCUUCUGUGUUCUGGCCUCUCUAGGACUUGAGUAUCAGCAGAGAAGGUCAAAGCAUUUAACCAUUGAGGUGAGAUGGGAUUUGUUCAAUGUUUCGCCAUUUACUCUGAAAGCAGCACCUACCAGCCCUAUAGUCUAAGGUGGCUCCAGCGUGCUUUGGUCCCUACAGAACACAGCAACCCCAGUAGACUUGUGUUUCCUUAACGAUACUCUGCUGCAUAAACCUGAGUCCCUCUCCAGUACCCUAACAGCACACCACUGCUAUAGACACACAGGGCAUGAGCUGAGCGUGCUUUGCAGUUGAGACACCAAAGCGGGGGUGGGGAUGGGGGGUGGCAGAGAAUGCAUUAAGGGUCACAGCCAGCAACCCUGCUGUGGGCCUCUGUCUGUCACAUGUACUGUGUCAGGCUCAGGAGACUAAGCUGGGUCUGUGCAUGCGUGUGACACAUGAGUUUGACUGAGUCCCCUUUCCCCUUGGCACGUAGGCCCUGCAAAGCUGGAGGCUCAGGGAAGCCCAGGGGACCAAGAACACAUGCGAUUACAGGCAUGACAUAGGAUAGUCACACUCAGUACCUUCUUCCCGCCACAAGAUGUUUGCCACUGUGGCAGCCGAGAAUUUGGAGAGCAGCCACAUGAUAGCCGGGAGAGAAAGAGAAAAGGACAAUGUCAAACCUUCACUGCUGUGAUUCAUUCCUCUAAGGAACAUUCUAGAAUCCACUUGUCACUUGAUGAAUCUGGGAUCACUCCCUGGUCCAGCGACAAUAUCAGUUCAGAGUGCUGGACCCACGUGGACACACUUUUAAGUCUCAGAAUGCUUUUUCUUUCUAAAUAAAUCAGAGUCCUAGGAUUCUAGCAGCCUCCUUGAUUCUGUGGGCGAUGACAAAUGGGUAGCCUCUCUCCCCAAUUUUCCAUGUCCUUCUUGGAAAGCUGAUUUUUCAGUUAAGACUCUCCAAGGAAGAAUAUUCUCUCAUUCAAUGAUCACAGCUUGGAGUCUGGCACUCAUUCCACGAUCCUACCUGCAUUCCAUGUACCUGAGGAAGCAGUAGGUACAAGAGAGAGGAUGCUUAGCCCCUGAGGUGGGUGAUGAUUCCCAGAGAAGGGGCCACUCUACUAUUAUAUAUUCAUCUGGGACCCUCCACUCCCCCAUACCACAGAGAAUGCUAAACCCCAUUCAUGGUUGUUUCCAUGUGUACACACAUACCACGAAUACAGUAGAAAAAUUAUAAUGUGCUGUGACGAAAACGUUAUUUAAGGGGCUGGAGAAAUAUCCUACCAGUUAAGAGCAUAGACUCCAGAGGACUAGAGUUCAAUUCCCAGCAUCCCACAACAGGCAGCUCAUCACCACCUGUAACUCCAGCUUCGAGAGCUCCGACCCCCUCUUCUGGCCUAUGUGUGAACCAGCCAGCACACACAGGUCCACAUUUAAAAAAAAUCUUAAAGUUAUUGAAGCCUUGUGAAGGGUCCGUUUUUGGAAUUUCAGAUAAAGGAGGCAUAACUACAGAGAGGGGGCAGCAGCUGUCUGCAUCUGUAACCUUCUAGGUCACCUGACCAGUCAUAUGUCACAGGAGGCAGGAGCAGAGCUGGGGUAUUUGGGCCUCCUUGUAGUCCUGGCCCGUGCGUCCUGACCAGAGACUCCUAUCGUCUGUUUCCAGAGCUGUGUAGGUUGCUUGAGAAGGUACCUAGUUUUGUGUACAGAGGAAAUAGAUUUAUCCCAGCCUUUAGAGGCUCCCAGUUAGUGGCUGUGGCCCUGGAGAGUUAGUGCAUUCCUCCCGUCCCCCUAACACUCCUGUAUAGCUCAGUGGGGACCUCCGAGCCAAUGGGGCACUCACGUGUCUUUCUAGCUGAGUCCUCAAUGAAGAGGGAGGAGAUAUCUUCAUCCACACCCACUUCAUUCUUGGCAAUGCAGGUGUACGCCCCGGUGUCUUCAUAGCGAACGCUGCGGAUGUGGAGUUCGCUUCCAUUGGCUGUAGAGGGGAGAGUGCACAGGGUGGGGCUUUCAGGGGCAACACUCUUUCAUGUGCCCUCCCCACCAUCCUCUCAGGAUCUCUGAAGAGCCGUGAGUUAAAACACAGUCAUUGGGUGUGGCUGAACGCCGUCAACAUUCUUGGGACUGGACCUAGGAUCGGGUGGUGCUGCUGAAAUAGAGGGUGACCAUGAUGCCUAUGAGACCUGUGUAUGCUAGUCAACAGGGAAUCCCUGUUUCCUCUUAACAUGCCAGACUCAGCCAUGAUCUUGCCUCUCAUUUCCUGUCCUGGGAUUCACAUGCAGUUCUUACCCAAGAGGGAGAGCUGUUUGGACAUCUGGGUUGAGACAUCCAUGCCAUUUUUCAGCCAAACGAUUCUGGGCAGGGGGAUGCCCUCAGCGUGGCAUCGAAGGCUGGCUGCCACCCCAGGUUCUUGUGCCUGGGUCUCUGGAUAGACACGGAUGACUGGUGGCACUGUGGAUGAGAAUCAGUAUUGGUAAGGACAAGUCCACACCUGGUCUUGGGCCUGUAGUCAAACCCCGAGACCCUUGAUCCAGAGGGUGAACCCGAGAGGUGACUCCGGAGGCCUUGGAACCAGUUUACAGUGAUCAUCUUUGACAACCCACGUACCGAGGAAAAAGGCUGUAAAACGAAUUACUAGUAAUAAACACAACCCGUGUUGUAGCCUGUAAUUCAUAGCUUCCACUCUUGUUCUAAAUAUGAUCAGAAAGACAUCCAAAUAUUUAACACUAUUCAGCCGCAGGAUGUAAAGAGCAGCUAGCAGCUGGAAUAAAUCUGUGAAUGAAUGAAA